AACCUUAAUGUGUAACACGCAUAGAAAAAUUAUUAAAAAAAAUUGUGUGGUGUUAAAAGAAAUAUAUAUAUAAUUAAAUUAAUACAAUUACAUUUAACGUUCUUUCGUUCUUUUCUUUUAUUAUUAUUAUAUUAAAACGUUAACUUGAAAUUUUUAACGAUAUAAUAUAUCAACUUGACAAACACCAAGAUUUGAGAUCGAAAUAAACGAUAGUAGUCUUACUACUUGUUAUUGAAACGAGUGUUUCAAAGUGUUUCUAUUUCUAUCAAAUGUCAAUACAAUCAAAGAUUGAAAAUAGAAAAGCUGAUGCAAGAGCAAGUGAUUUUUCUCGAAAACGAACGUUUCUUUAAUGUUUCACGAACAAUUGCAAGAUAUAUCGAAUGCAACUUAGCAAAUUCGAGAGAAAGGAUUUUUCAAUCGUAUCUCACGGAAUGAAAUUCGAACAGGCUCUCGCUCUCGGUCCACUCGAGGGAAAGAUUACUUUUCCACUUUUCGCGUCGCUGUCGCCAUGCUAGAUCCUUGCUUGGUAUCCUUUGUUCUUUCAAUCUUACUGUCAUUGGGGAUAUCGAUAGGACUCGUUUCGAAAAUUAUUCCUAUUAAUAUCUUUUCGUUUCCAGAAAUAAUUUCUUAUUCGUAAAAUAAUAUUACUCGUUGUAAUUCGAUUAUAAAAAUAAUCGAUAUCUUAACAUUAAAAAUCUUUUUUAUUCUAGUAUUCGAGUCGAAAUUAAGCUAAUCCACCAUUAAAUAAAUAAACUGAGGACAGAGAGCGUCUAUUCUCCAUCGAAUGAAAAAAAAAAAAGCAAUAAAGGAGAAGACAAAGUGUCUCUAAGGUGACUCGGUCGUCUAAAAGCAACUAUUCUACACGUUUUUCAAGAAUAGGUACCCGUCCCCAUGGGUUUUGUCCGCGAGCAAAGAAAGCAUCGAAGUAAAGAGAAUCGAUGAUACCCUACCACAGAAGCAAGUUGUGCGAUCAGCCUGCAAGUAACCCGAGAUAAGAAUAAGGAUCGUCCAGAGAAUUGGUGAAACAAGACAAAUCGAGAUCGGACCAAUCCGGUUCCUCGCCAUGGAUCUAAAUUAAAAUCCAAAUUAUCCAAAGUGAAGGAAACGUCGAAUGAACGAGAUACAAUAGAUUGGAGGUAUUUUUCCUCGGAGCAAACUAUCAGAAGAGACAACGGUUUUCCAUUUUCCAACAACGAUCGGUGUUCCCCCCACGACACUUCCGGGAGAUCAGCUCGUCGCUGGGAGGAGUGGCAGAGCGGUGUUCGAGGAGAAGGAAAAAAGGGCAAAGACCGUGGCGGAGGAAAGAGGUGACCCGGAUUUCUUUGCCUCUUUGCACCAGAGAAAACGGUAUCUCAAGGUGGCCCAUCAUUUUUCGUAAGGGGAGGUUUUGGCACCGCGGUUGCCACCCUCCCCUCCCCUCCAUUCCGAAUGAUCGAUCGAUCAGCCAGAAGUUUUAUCCCUUUAUAAGAACGAGAGAAGCGAUGUUAUUCUUAUGUACACGAUAUUUCUUAAUCAGGAUCGCUUUCUGUCGCCCUACUUGGUCCGCCACUCUACAUGCAAUGUGGAAAAAGAGGCUAUCUAUUCAGCUUAAUUGAAUUCACGCCCCACGAGUGUAACAAGGAGGAGCAAUCAAAAGAGGGAUAAGUGGCCCUUUGGUGGGCAAGCACUCUGAAAAAACGUUCAUUUUCCUCGAAGAGAAUCAUCUUCGAGAGAUGGACGAAAGAGUAUUCUUGGCGAUGAUAAUAAAACGAACAGAAAUCUGUUCUACGGCGUUUGGAGAAUCGUUUUCGAAACUUUCGACGGCCGACGAAGUUCGAAGAAGAAGCCGGCGUUCCGUUUCAAAGGCGAUCGAUUGACCUUCCCACUUUCCUCCACGCUGGACUGCGUUUUCGGCCUUACCUUGCACCUGCGAGAAGGCAAAGGGCAAACGAGAUUGACAGAUUGAUAAAUAGCUCAUAGAAACAAGAGCGAUAUCAAUGAGUUAUCGAUAUCGGAAGAAAGGUAUAAGGAAUAAAAUUAACAUAUUUGAAAUUUUAACUACGCGUGGAUAUUAAUAAUAUGCGGAUCUUUUAAACGAGUUUCCCAGGUCGAUUGAGUUUAAAAAAAAAGGUUAUUUGAGUGCACGCGUACUACUCGAAUCCACGAACUCGAAAACUGCCCUUUCUCCAAAAUUUCGUCCCUGUUGAUUAUAUCUCGUCUCGUACAAUCCUCCGUAUAUGUCGCUCGUGCGAGAAGACACGUUGCGUAUAUUCGAUUGUAAAGUUCGCAGUGCUCCAUCGGUAAAUUCGUAACGCGGAUGACGUCAUCGGUGAGCGCGCGCAAAUGCCCCUGUUUCGCGAUCCGCAAACGUCCGUUUUCCGCGAUCCGUGCCACGGGGGCACCGCCAUCGUAAAGCCAUUUCGGGGAUCGCGCGACAUAAAUUAUAAAAUCGACCGACGCCAGAUCGUCUGUGCAAUGGCCGGCAUGUAGGACGCCGCGGAAGAAUAUCCCCCUUCGUUUAUUCGUUUUAUAUCUUUCAGCUCUCGAUCGACACGUGGAAUAGGCCUGAGUUUGGGGGAAAAACGAUUCGAUCCACGCAUUUUCCUUUCCGUAAACGUGACAAGGGAGGAUGAGUGUUGAAACGAGAAGUAAGUGUAAUAAUACAAGCUUAAGAUAACUUUGUUGCAUUUUUUAGGUUAGAUGUGUUAAGAAGUGUGUGGAAAAUUGCGGAAAGGAGAGGAUUGAAAGAGAAGGAUAAAGAAUCGUUGGAAAGGAAUGAAAGAGAGAGGUUAGGUGCAACAGAUCGGCGAAAUUCGGGCCACGAGGUUUAUACGAUGUGUACAGUGUGUUUCGAUUUCCCACGAGAGAUGAGGCAAAUUCAUAACCCAAUCGGCAAAUACAACAAUUGAUUCUUGCCACUCGAAUAUCCACGAUUAAACAAGGAGGAAUAUAAAACGACGUCGACGUGUUUCUACUAAAAAGGACGUAUACGAGGUGAUAUAUAUUCACUUAUGGUAGAUGAAGAAAGAAACCAUGGUAUUGAAAAUGCACGUAUCGCCGAUCCGGCGAUGUGUGAAUUUGGCAGAAAUCCAGAACUACCGUCACCAAAAAGAAAGAAAGCCCGCGACACGGCCGAUAAUCGUCGAAAUCGUCUUUUGUUGACGAUUUGAUAGACGAAUCGAAUUGACGUCAAGAAUCGAAUUAAAUAGUAGUUUUCAACGUUUAACUGCUUAUUGUGUGUGUAAAUUUUCGAUGGAAAGAAAAGGAUCUAUUUCAUAUCACGAUCGAUCAUUCGUGCAGACCACGUUGAUUCUAUCCACAGGGGUGUACAGUUCGACGCGUACGCAUUGUUCCAUGGCUACAUUUUGCUCGUAAAUCGAUCGAGUCUCUGGCAAUGGAAAAACAUAAUGGAAAUUGAUGUGUUUCAAAGAGUUUUGAUAAAUCUGGAUAAACAGAUAGGAAAAUGCUCCACUGGAAAUAUAUUCUAUUUUAAUCUUUAAUUCGAAAUAUAAGAUUGAAAAAAAUUUUGAAAAUUCUAAGCUUGAAACGAUAUUUUGGAAAUCUUUGAAAUGACUCCUCGAAGACUUGGAAUGGAAAAGGAAUUCUUGAAAUUAACAAGAAUUUCGGGCCUCCCUAAUCUUCGAUGACCCAAAUAUUUUCCCUUCUGACUGGUGCAGAAUUGCAGUAAGCGAUCAGUCGUGCUCUUUCAUCUGCGCUUCUUUCAAAAAAAUUAUCGUAUGACAAAGUAAUGAUUCGUGAUCGAGGAACUAAAGAAAUCUAUAAGGAAGAAACAAACUACAGAAGAGAAAGCAAAUUUUAAAUAAAAGAGAAACCUUUGUUAAAUUUCUCAAGAACUGUAUAAGAAUCAUUGGGAAAAAUUGUCA